rnacentral:rRNA from 1 species
CAGCAGCCGCGGGAAUACGUAGGUGGCAAGCGUUGUCCGGAAUUAUUGGGCGUAAAGGGCUCGCAGGCGGUUUCUUAAGUCUGAUGUGAAAGCCCCCGGCUCAACCGGGGAAGGUCAUUGGAAGCUGGGAAACUUGAGUGCAGAAGAGGAGAGUGGAAUUCCACGUGUAGCGGUGAAAUGCGUAGAGAUGUGGAGGAACACCAGUGGCGAAGGCGACUCUCUGGUCUGUAACUGACGCUGAGGAGCGAAAGCGUGGGGAGCGAACAGGAUUAGAUACCCCCGUAGUCCCUGUCUCUUAUAC